CACCACAUCUCCAAAGUAUGCACAGCUUGCAAGAGGAGCUCAAAAAGAGAACAAGCCAGUUCAGUAGGCUGCAGACAGUGGAGGUGAACUGAUCUACACCCUGAGAGCCUGGGAAGAAGAGCACUGCAGGAGCACACAGGGAAGAGACUGGUGAUUCUCAGAAGGCCUGAAACUUUAUCUUUGAUUCCAGCAUCCCUGACCACAGGACCAGAGGGACCAUCAACAGAGGGGCACCAGGAAAGAAGAGAACCUGCCACAGUAUGCUCGGCCACUGGGCGGUGCUUGCCAUCUCAGGAUUUUGGGAAAUGCUGCUGAGAUGGCAUAUGGACAGCCAUGCCAACUCCCAAAAAAGUGAAUCCUUUGUAUGUCCAGGUCUCUCAGUGUCUAUACUGACUAACCAAUGAUUUUGUUGUUGUUGUUGUUCUUUAUGAUGUUUAGGUGAAUAUCUUAAAAAUAAUUGUUCAGGUCACAAAUGCAUAUUUUGAAAACAUAUAAAGUAGUUUAUUUUGCA